rnacentral:rRNA from 1 species
UACGAAGGGGGCUAGCGUUGCUCGGAAUCACUGGGCGUAAAGGGCGCGUAGGCGGCUUAUCAAGUCAGGCGUGAAAUUCCCGGGCUCAACCUGGGGGCUGCGCUUGAUACUGAUGAGCUUGAAUGCGGGAGAGGAUAGUGGAAUUCCCAGUGUAGAGGUGAAAUUCGUAGAUAUUGGGAAGAACACCGGUGGCGAAGGCGGCUAUCUGGCCCGUAAUUGACGCUGAGGCGCGAAAGCGUGGGGAGCAAACAGG